CUAGCGACUUCAGAGUUUGAUCCUGGCUCAGGAUGAACGCUAGCUACAGGCUUAACACAUGCAAGUCGAGGGGCAGCAUGAAGUCAGCUUGCUGACUUUGAUGGCGACCGGCGCACGGGUGAGUAACGCGUAUCCAACCUUCCCCUUACUCAGGAAUAGCCCGUUGAAAGACGGAUUAAUGCCUGAUGUUCUCAUGUUGCCGCAUGGCGAUAUGAGCAAAGAUUCAUCGGUAAGGGAUGGGGAUGCGUAUGAUUAGCUUGUUGGCGGGGUAACGGCCCACCAAGGCAACGAUCAUUAGGGGUUCUGAGAGGAAGGUCCCCCACACUGGAACUGAGACACGGUCCAG
rnacentral:rRNA from 1 species